GCACUUGGCUCAGUGGUAGAGCGCAUGCUUUGAAUGCACAGGGUCCCAGGUUCAGCCCCUGGCAUCCACA